GUCGACGGUAGAGGGGGCAACCCCUUGAGAGUGGCGAACGGGUGAGUAAUAUAUCGGAACGUGCCCAGUCGUGGGGGAUAACGUAGUGAAAAUUACGCUAAUACCGCAUACGAUCUAAGGAUGAAAGCGGGGGAUCGCAAGACCUCGCGCGAUUGGAGCGGCCGAUAUCAGAUUAGGUAGUUGGUAGGGUAAAGGCCUACCAAGCCAACGAUCUGUAGCUGGUCUGAGAGGACGACCAGCCACACUGGAACUGAGACACGGUCCAGACUCCUACGGGAGGCAGCAGUGGGGAAUUUUGGACAAUGGGCGAAAGCCUGAUCCAGCCAUUCCGCGUGCAGGAUGAAGGCCCUCGGGUUGUAAACUGCUUUUGUACAGAACGAAAAGGUCUCUAUUAAUACUAGGGGCUCAUGACGGUACUGUAAGAAUAAGCACCGGCUAACUACGUGCCAGCAGCCGCGGUAAUACGUAGGGUGCAAGUGUUAAUCGGAAUUACUGGGCGUAAAGCGUGCGCAGGCGGUUAUAUAAGUCAGAUGUGAAAUCCCCGGGCUCAACCUGGGAACUACAUUUGAGACUGUAUAGCUAGAGUACGGUAGAGGGGGAUGGAAUUCCGCGUGUAGCAGUGAAAUGCGUAGAUAUGCGGAGGAACACCGAUGGCGAAGGCAAUCCCCUGGACCUGUACUGACGCUCAUGCACGAAAGCGUGGGGAGCAAACAGGAUUAGAUACCCUGGUAGUCCACGCCCUAAACGAUG
rnacentral:rRNA from 1 species